UACUUAAUAGUUUAAUUACUAAAACAAUCCUUUUUCGUAGGAUAAAAGAAUUAUAUUUCUUAAGUUU
rnacentral:tRNA from 1 species